CAAGCUAUAAGGCACACAGAGUGUUACGUAUUUAUAGAGGAAAAUCCAUGAUGUUGCGUGAACAAUGAAUCAUUUGCGUAGUACAAAAAACCAUGCCCCCAAGUUGCCAACUCAGCAUUAUGAAGCGCGUUUGAAUUACCACUCUGCCUCACUUACGUUACAUAUCAAAUAUAUAAAUGUUCCCACACUAACGCUCCUUUUUCACGUGGCCAUCCAAAGUGCUACUUCUUUUAGGGUGUAAGCACUUUCUGAUGAGUUACAGCCGUUUCUCCAACCCACAUUUCUCAUUAGUAUCGGCGUGUGGGUCUGGUGGCGGCAAUUUGAUCAUGUCUGGUGGCGGCAAUUUGAUCAUGCUUUUCCCAGAUAUUUUGAUAGCCAGCCAAGUUUGACGACAUGGUGGCCUUCCGGUCCGUGUGAUAUAUACGAGUUUCAAAGAUUGGCAGGCAAUUCAAUUAACUGCAUGCUUUCGAAGCUGACAUAAUGAGGAAAUUGGGUACCAGCUGGAAGUCACGCAAGGAGCCUUCUUGGGGGAAUUCAGAUCGUAUUGGCUCACCAUUGCAAUUUGCUAUUAAGGCAAAAUGAUGAACAUCUAUCCUUAUCCUGAUGUCACUGACAGCUCCAUGCAAAGCUCCCUUCUAUUAUUGUCCUUGUCCCUCAAUCAUUACAAAUUAAGCCAUCCAGCUGAGGCCCAAACGCCACCGUUUCAUGCAUGCAUGCAUUGUACAAUUGAAGGAGAAUUAGGCACAGACGCACAGCAUCCUUAUAUUAAAAUAAGAAGAAAAAGAAUGUACACCAUCAACCCCCAACUUUAUGGAAUUUUCUUUUUUUCUGAAAAAUGUAUGCAAGUCCACGGUUCUUAUUUACCGGUUGACCCAAAUAAUUCCAUUCUUGAAUGGUUGAUUAUGAUAAAUGAUAGCUUUCUUUUUUUUCUCAAAA